rnacentral:rRNA from 1 species
UACGUAGGUGGCGAGCGUUGUCCGGAUUUACUGGGCGUAAAGAGCGCGCAGGCGGUCGUUCAAGUCGAGUGUGAAAGCCCCCGGCUCAACUGGGGAGGGUCACGCGAUACUGAUCGACUCGAAGGCAGGAGAGGGUAGUGGAAUUCCCGGUGUAGUGGUGAAAUGCGUAGAUAUCGGGAGGAACACCGGUGGCGAAGGCGGUUCUCUGGGCCUUACCUGACGCUGAGGAGCGAAAGCGUGGGGAGCAAACAGG